AUGCUAAUGGCACAAUGGCAAACAGGACAGAAGAACGUCAGGUCUCCACAGAAGUCGUCAUGAAGCCAUCAGUGAGGAGGUGAGGAGGAUAUUUCAGGCACCAUCCUCCUGCAUCCAAACGAGGACACAGUUACCCACUGCAGGAGGUGAGGAUGGAUGCAUUGACGAAGACCCGUGUUACUACACUCCUCGCUCGCUUUCAGGAAGGAAAUCUUCCAUGCCAGGAGCAGAAAGGAGGGGUGACACAAAGAUGGAGUGUGACUUCCUGCGUUCCAGAGAGCACGCCGGGUGCUGGGGCUGAGGCUGGCUUCGUGUCACAGGGGUAUGCUCCAUAACUCACAACACAAAUGUUCGUGGAGGAAGUGUCUCAGAGAGUGUUUCUGUCCCCUUGUUCUUCGUUGAGCAGAUAUUUCAUCUGCUCUCAGGAGGGAAGCAGAGCCCAAUGGAGAGCCUAACAGAACGCAGCAUGGAUAAUCCUGAGCUGUGCCCCGAGUCCUUGCUUGUUGGAGCGCAGACUGAGUUUGUGACUGCUCAGUUUAUUUCACUCUGUGCUGCUGUCUCGUUCUGAGGUAGAUCCAAAAUGUCACCGAUCCAAAUGAUGGAACGUCUCAUGGCAAUGGCUUCUUCUGGAGGGCAUUUGGCAGCUCUAUCACAGCCAUGGGAGGGCUGAUGUGCAGCUGCCACGUUGCUCAGAAGUCACACUGGAGGACUUGAAGGUGUGCAUGCAUGUGACUUCAAUUCCUUUGAUUUCAGCUCCGUGGUUGUGAAAUAACUUUCAGUGGGGAUUUCACGUCAGCUAAGUUUAGCUCUUGGCUGUUGAGAGGAAGAGGGACAACGCUGAUGGCUCUGCAAAUGAGCUCUGGGUUGAGUAGGGAAGGAAAAUGGACCUGGCACCUGAACUGACCUCCCCCAGCGCAGUCCUCAGGUCCUCACCUGAGAUGCUGAAAUCUGUAUUGAUAUUGUCAUCUAUAUCUCAACAUAUGUAACUUUUCCAUGCUUGCAGAGAAACAAAUGGAGUUUUUUUUCGUCAUCUGCAUUCCAGCAAUCAUCGGAGAGCCCCUGGCUCCCAGAAGCUCUCCCUGGUAUUUGGAGCAAUUAAAUGCACAGAAUGCCCAUAGCUUUGUAACAGAGGGGAAUCAUUAUGGGGAAUCAUUAUUGCAUUGGUGUGAUUUUGCUAGUGCUGCAACCCAUUCUUUGCAGCCUAAAGCACGGGGCACAGGCAGCCCAAUGGGAAAGGUAGGGAAACAGUGGAAGGAAAGCAUGUGCAGGAGCUUUCUGCAUUUGGGAUGUAUCACACGUAGUGGUGGAGCUGUGCUAAUCAAGAUCUGGAGAAUCUGGUUCCCCAUCUGAAGUGAGCAUCCCUUUUGUAUUAGUCCCUGAAGUUAUUUUAACUCGCGUUGACACAAAUUAAACAGGAAUCUUGCUGUCCAUUGAUUUUGUCAGCGGUGUGUUUUUUUUUCC
rnacentral:lncRNA from 1 species